rnacentral:rRNA from 1 species
UACAGAGGGGGCGAGCGUUGUUCGGAAUUACUGGGCGUAAAGGGCGCGUAGGCGGCCCGCUAAGUCGAACGUGAAAUCCCCAGGCUCAACCUGGGAACUGCGUCCGAUACUGGCAGGCUUGAAUCCGGGAGAGGGAUGUGGAAUUCCAGGUGUAGCGGUGAAAUGCGUAGAUAUCUGGAGGAACACCGGUGGCGAAGGCGGCAUCCUGGACCGACAUUGACGCUGAGGAGCGAAAGCUAGGGGAGCAAACGGG